rnacentral:rRNA from 1 species
AUGUGGCUUAUUCCAACAAACGUCUACGACGUCGACGACUGCAUCCCGCCGCACGUCGACCACCACGACUUCCUCCGCCCCUUCUGCACCGCCUCCUUCCUUACCGAGGCGCCCAUCCUCUUCGGCAAGGACAUGCGGGUGGUCGCCCCUGAGGAGUUCUCCGCCGCCGCCUCCAUCCCGCUGCCUGUGGGGUCCGUGCUUGUGCUCAACGGCAACGGCGCCAAUGUCGCCAAGCACUGCGUCCCCGCCGUGCCAGCCAAGAGGAUCUCCAUCACGUUUUGGAAGAUGGACGCCUCCAAGGUCCCGUUCGGCUUCCGGCCUGACCCGCUGCUGCAGAGCCUCGCGGCUGCUGCGGUCCGGCCGGCGGCUGCUGGGAGCGCACCCCCUAGCAGAGCAGCCUGGGAGUAG